rnacentral:rRNA from 1 species
CCUACGGGGUGCAGCAGUGGGGAAUAUUGCACAAUGGGCGAAAGCCUGAUCCAGCAACGCCGCGUGAACGAUGAAGGCCUUCCGGUCGUAAAGCUCUGUCUUCAAGGAAGUAAAUGACGGUACUUGAGGAGGAAGCCACGGCUAACUACGUGACAGCAGCCGCGGUAAUCCGUCGGGGGCGGGCGUUAUCCGGAAUUACUGGGCGUAAAGGGGGCGUAGGUGGUUUCUUAAGUCAGAGGUGAAUGGCUACGGCUCAACCGUAGGAAGCCGUUGAAACUGGGGAACUUGAGUGCAGGAGAGGAGAGUGGAAUUCCUGGUGUAGCGGUGAAAUGCGUAGAUAUUAGGAAGAACCCCAGUUGCGAAGGCGGCUCUCUGGACUGUAACUGACGCUGAGGCACGAAAGCGUGGGGAGCAAACAGGAUUAGAUACCCCGGUAGUC